rnacentral:misc_RNA from 1 species
GAUGAAGAACGUAGCGAAAUGCGAUACGUAAUGUGAAUUGCAGAAUUCAGUGAAUCAUCGAGUCUUUGAACGCACAUUGCGCCCCCUGGUAUUCCGGGGGGCAUGCCUGUCCGAGCGUCAUUGCUGGCCUCAAGCACGGCUUGUGUGUUGGGCCUCAGUCCUCCUCCCGGGGGACGGGCCCGAAAGGCAGCGGCGGCACCGCGUCCGGUCCUCGAGCGUAUGGGGCUUCGUCACCCGCUCUUGUAGGCCCGGCCGGCGCUUGCCGACACAUCAAUCUUUUUUCCAGGUUGACCUCGGAUCAGGUAGGGAUACCCGCUGAACUUAAGCAUAUCAAUAAGCGGAGGA